GUUGGCAAAAGCAGUGGGAAGGGACCUUGCUGACCCUGGCUUUGGUUCAGGUAGACUGUAUUUGGGCUUCUGACUUCUAAGCUUCCUGAAGGGCUCCAGGAAGAUGGUGGCACCACAUGUCUCGUAUAGCCUGCAGAACCGUUGUGGAUGAGAGAGCUGUCCCAUGGCUGGGCUGUUUUUACGUAUACUGGCUGCUUACAGGAUAUCACACUGCUGAAUCACAUGUACUUGAAGACCAGCAGAGGAUGGUGGGUGUGCCGCUGCCCAUGCUGUGUAAAGACGGUGACAGAGUGGGCCCAACAGCACCCUUGGAGUCUAUACAGGAAGAUAAAGUCAUGAAUGGGUAAUGUCCUCUGACUGGUUCUGAAACAUAGGGGCUGCCAUUUUGCAGGGACAGAGCAAAUUAUGAUACACCUCUUUACCCUCUAAAAUUUAAUUUCAAGUUGCCUAAGUCUGCAUAACUUUCCAGUCUUAAGUGCAAAUGGCCGUCAAGUCUCCUGAUGUCCACUGAAGCCAUUUGGGGUUUUUGUUUUUACUCAAUUUUAAUAUUUUUCUGAUCCCUGCAGAGCUCUAGCAUCGUGACUUCUUUAACUAAAUUAAUACUUUUAAUCUGGUUGUAGUAAAGUCUUGUUAUAACCUGAGAUCCCUUUUCUGUCCCUGGUGAUGUUGCAUCACGCAUCCUUGGUUUUUUUGUGGAUUGAUUUUAUCCUUUAGCUCUCAGAGGAUGUUCUUAUUUCCAAGUAGCUGGAAAUUACCAAAUACCGAUCAUAAUAUCCAGAAGUACAAAUUAAUAACUUGGGAUAGUAAUAAAUAGCACAAUUUGUACUUAUAGUUUAUGCUAUUUUUCUAAAUUACAUGUUGAUCCUCUUUAGUGGCAAGCUGCCCAUCGGUAUUGGCUAUUAAUAAUAAUUGAAACAAUAUGCCAUGCAAUCCCCUCUAACUCUGCAGAUGUAAUGAAGCAUACAUCUGCCAGAUGGAAGUUACAGUAUAAUGUACCCUGACUUGCUGUUGCAGGGUUGCUAAGUACAGUUUUUCUUUCCUAGCAUUUUCACUAGUAUCUUUGUUUAUAGACUCAGUCAGUAGGGUACCUAGCAGUCUGAGUUUGAAAACUUAAGAAUUAAUUUCAACACAUCUUUGACUAUUCCCUAAUGUUCUCCUCUCCAAUGUGUCACAGCAAAGCCAAGGGUAACUAGUGUUUUGUGAUGAAGAGCUGUCCUUUCCUGUGCCCACCAGCAAACUUGAGGAUACAUGUUGAGUUGUUGAGUGCUAGAGAGAGAGAAAAAUGAUCUACCCCUCUUUAGAGAUACCCCAUAUUGAUGAGAGUGAUGUGCUUGGGCAUGGCUUGGAGAACCAGUGGGGAGUUUGGAAUGAUGGCUUUUGUCCAUUUCAACAUCAGAACCCUGAUCCUAUGUUAUAAUAAGAAACAUAGACACAUGGCAAUAAAUUUCAGAAUCAAGUAUAAAGUGCUUAUCAUGUUUGCAGUUCUUUGAGAUAUAAAAAAGCCUCCCAAUUGUCCCAUAGAACUGAU